GUGGCGAACGGGUGAGUAACACGUGGGUGAUCUGCCCUGCACUUCGGGAUAAGCCUGGGAAACUGGGUCUAAUACCGGAUAGGACCACGGGAUGCAUGUCUUGUGGUGGAAAGCGCUUUAGCGGUGUGGGAUGAGCCCGCGGCCUAUCAGCUUGUUGGUGGGGUGACGGCCUACCAAGGCGACGACGGGUAGCCGGCCUGAGAGGGUGUCCGGCCACACUGGGACUGAGAUACGGCCCAGACUCCUACGGGAGGCAGCAGUGGGGAAUAUUGCACAAUGGGCGCAAGCCUGAUGCAGCGACGCCGCGUGGGGGAUGACGGCCUUCGGGUUGUAAACCUCUUUCACCAUCGACGAAGGUCCGGGUUCUCUCGGAUUGACGGUAGGUGGAGAAGAAGCACCGGCCAACUACGUGCCAGCAGCCGCGGUAAUACGUAGGGUGCGAGCGUUGUCCGGAAUUACUGGGCGUAAAGAGCUCGUAGGUGGUUUGUCGCGUUGUUCGUGAAAUCUCACGGCUUAACUGUGAGCGUGCGGGCGAUACGGGCAGACUAGAGUACUGCAGGGGAGACUGGAAUUCCUGGUGUAGCGGUGGAAUGCGCAGAUAUCAGGAGGAACACCGGUGGCGAAGGCGGGUCUCUGGGCAGUAACUGACGCUGAGGAGCGAAAGCGUGGGGAGCGAACAGGAUUAGAUACCCUGGUAGUCCACGCCGUAAACGGUGGGUACUAGGUGUGGGUUUCCUUCCUUGGGAUCCGUGCCGUAGCUAACGCAUUAAGUACCCCGCCUGGGGAGUACGGCCGCAAGGCUAAAACUCAAAGGAAUUGACGGGGGCCCGCACAAGCGGCGGAGCAUGUGGAUUAA
rnacentral:rRNA from 1 species